AUGAAAGUACGACCUCUGGGUAUCGGAUUAUUCCUCGGGCCUGAGGCAACGGCCAUUUCAGUGGGUACUGUCCCAGUUGAAAAGUUUUCGCUCGUUCCCUUAACCUUAAUUCCCUCUGCCUCCCUUCUCCCUGGUCACAGCUUGCCGCCAGCGCUGACCCCACCCCGCUCCCUCUCUGUCACUCAGGAGACGAGAGGACGUGCCAGCCUCGAGGCUCGGCGCGGCGCAGGCUGGAGCGGGCAUUGCCCCCGUCCCCGCGACAGUACGGCUGGCCUCACCGCCGCCGCGGGUCUCCCGCCGGCCGCCUGGGCCGCCCGGGCUGCUGCCGUGUGCCUCCCGAGUGCAGGGGCCGCGCUGGCGGAGCGCUUUCCGCCGCCGUUUGUCUCCCGUCUCUUCCCGUUCGCGGGAGCAGCUGCUGCUGCGCAACCCCUUCCCCGCCCGCCCGGUCCCUCCAGUGCCGUCGCCUUCUCCUCGCAGCCCCGCGCGGCGCGGCCCGGGGUUAGUCUUGCUACAAAAGAAAUUAUCACACUCGCCACCCUCUGACAUCCACUAGUCAUCACUGUUACUAACUUCCAUGAUACCGAAGCUGAUCGCACAAUGGCUGAAAUGGUAGGAGAGUUCGUAGACGAGAAGGAGAUGCAGGGAAGUAGAUGGUAUAUCUUUCUGCUUCUCUUUGGCAGCCUGGAGACAGUUGUUGAAAUUUUCUUUUCUGCCUCCCCAUCUUAAGUGCUAUUUUAUUGAAAAACAUUGUUGAACUAGUUAAUGCGCUUCUUUAAUCAGAAAUACUUUGGAGAUCAGAAACUAGCCACAAGUUUUUAAAUGUACCCUAAUGUCUUCCGUGGUUGUUUUUCUGGCUUGUAACCUAUCAGUUCCUCCUUAUCUGGGAGCAGGAACUUGGGGAUAUGGACUCUUGUUCGCCAGGACAGCUCAUUUAGCUUUUCUCUUUGAUCCUCUUACAAAGCUGACACCUGAUUUUUUUCAAGACUCUAAGUAACUAUUGCUGAAGUUUUAGUGCCCUAGUUUCUUGCUGCAACCUAAUAUUGUAAUUUUAAUGGCUGCAGAAUUCUGAAGGGGUCGCAGGUGAUUUUUGAAGAAAUGACAUUGUUAACUGCUUGUGGUGCUACACUCAUUUUCACAUUUUUAUGUGUUCAUGAAUGAAGGACAAGUUAGUUGAAAUUCUAGACCAGAUUUCAACAGAAAUUUAUGGGAUUGUGUUUAGUUCUUCACUGUGAACAUAUAAGAAUUUUUAAUUGGAGUUGUACUUCAUGUUUUUUAGCAAUAUUUUUUGAAGACAGAAAGACCAAAAUAUAAUGCAUUAUACAAUUUGGAUUUUAUAAGAAAUUUAGAUAUAAAUAGGAUUUUUUUUUCCCUUGAAAAUUUAUGUAAUCUGUCUAGUCUCCUCAUCUGGUAAAACUUCAGUGAGUUCUGCAUCCAGAACUUGCAUUGCAGCAAGAAUAGCUGACCCAUUUGAAGGAGCUCACAAAAUAGCAGUGACAGUUAGAGAUCAAGAAAGCAUUAUCUCUGAGGAAAAAGAGAAAAAAGUAUUUAGUUCAAAAACAGGAUUGAAGGGGAGCUAAUAUACGUUUUUAAAGUUGUAAAAUGUUCUGCACAGAAGAAAAGGAGCAAUUUUGUUCUUUACAUUCACAGCAAAUAAAGGAAAUUACAAGAAAAUUCCA
rnacentral:lncRNA from 1 species